CAAAAUUACAUAUUUCUAUAAGGCUUUCAAUCCAUAUAUUCUCGCAUGGAAAUACAAUAUAUAUUUAUAUGUAAUUAAAUUGAUUUACACAUAAUUUUACAUAUAUUACAUAUUUUAUAUUAUUACAUUAUUUUUAAAAUAGCAUGAUUAUUUACAGUUAAUUCAUUUUAAAUGUCAUUUUUAUAAAUGUCAUUUUAUUUGACUUUAUGGAAAGUAUUACAAACUGUGUGUGUGACAAAUCUUGUAAUUUGUUUAGUAUUUACAUUUAAUUCAUUUUAAAUGAAAUGUAAAAUUGAUUUAAUUUUUGAGCUGUAAUCAGCUCCUUCUCUGAGUGGCCCACCCCUCCUGUCCCUUCACGCUCGCUCUCAUUGGUCAGACCAGCUGACCGUCCAAUCCUUCUUAAAUGCCGUGCCAUUUGGCAAAUGCUAGUGAAUUCUGACAUUCACCAACUUUUGGGGCAUGUUUUGCAGUCGGCACUGCCCCAUAAAUAUGGAUGGUGAUUCAUAAGGAAGUAUUUGGGCUUCCCGUCGUCCCACAAAUAAGCCGCAUGCGGUGUUUAACCUUUUAGCUGAAUGCUCUGCAAUAUGGGUCAGUAAUCCAGCAGAAUAGACAGCAGUGAAGCAGAAAAACUGACGGGCCGUCACACUCUUCUCUCAGCUGGAUGCCUUUGUCGUAUGACAGGACAGGAAGAGGAGGACCGUCGCCGUGGGAGCAGGACACAGCUGGCGAUGACAUGUGGCCCGCUCCGGAGGAGGAGGACACACCUGUCACCCCUGACAUCGGGGAGGAGAGCGUCUCGUGCGGGACAGACACUGGGAGGAUGACUGAUGGACAGGUCAGGGCCGAGGUGAAGGAGGGUCCUGUGGAAAAAAACACGUUCCGGUCGGGAAACGGAGGGAAGCCCAGCUGUGGAAGAGGGCCAGGUUUUGGUGGAGGAUCCUGCACAGAUAGCUUCAGUUACUCUUGAGCAAACCGUCAGGGAAAGCGCAGACUUUCACGCCUCUGUGGGACUGAAGAGAGCUGCUUUGAAGAUAUUCCUGAAGGUUCCUGCAUUAAGAUGGAGCCCAUUGAGCAAAGCGACUCUGUUCUGUUAUAGAAGGGGAAAUGAAGGUCUUAAAACUGCCUAAAUGUUGCAAUUUAUUGUUUAGAUACAAAGCAGCUGAAUAAAAAAAUAUAAACGAAUUGAGAUUAAACA
ensembl:lncRNA